GUGGAGUUUGCUCAUUAAGAAGUUCUGUUCUCUUUUGUUUUCAUUUUUCUGCUGUUAACUGUUUUCUCUGAAGAUAGCCACACUGAAGAAUGGGGAGAAUAUAUCCUGAAGGCAUCUUGCAUUCUUUUUAGGUUCUUCUGAUAUCUUUGCAUGAAGUUCUAAAAUUACUGGCAGCAAUGGUUUCAAAAUCCAAAUGGGCAUCGCAGCAAGUUGAUCCUCUGCAGGAGGCCACUGAUGGCAGAAAACAUGGGUUUUACUUCCCAAUUUUAUUUUGAAAUACUGUCAGGUGUUUACCCAUCCUAGAUGGGGGGGAAAAGCAGAAAGCUGGCCCAUAAUUGUAAGCUGAGAUAGAGAUGACUUUGUGGGACUUCCUGCAGCCAACAUCGCAAUUAUUGGCUGCAAGAAGUCCCUCUACAUUUUGCUGUUAGGCCCUUUCCUUAUUUCUGCCACCUUCUUACUCCCUCCCAAUGUCAUGUUUCCCAGACAAUGACUUAUUCCACUCCCUGCCCCAAAUUGACUUUUUUUUAUUUCAAAUUAGCAGAGAUGUAUAAAAGUUAGUGCAGAUGUUUCCAGCUUCAUCAAUGCAUUUCCAUCUUGUAAUUUUGCAUCUUUGUUGUGGUUUCCUUCUUUAUCAUGAAUGUAAAACUUGGCUAAAGCAGUGGCUUUGGGACAGCGUGGGGAGAGGGGUAGCAUGGAUGAUGGGAUGACCAAGAAAACGUAUAGAAAAGAUGCAUUUCUGAAAGAAUAAGAGAAUCCCUUGACAUUUGAAAAGCAAAAGUCUGUCCCCAUCCUCAAAAGUUCUAAUUGUUGUUGUUGUUGCAAUGAAGCUUAUUUCCCAACUGUUGCUCAGUUUUUUUUAAAAUUAAGAAUGUUUCCUAUUUCCUGCUUUAUUCUAAUGAAGUCUAUUACUACUCUUGUCCAUAGUGGAUUCACACAACUGCUAGACUGGGCUAAAAUGGGGUUAGGUAGUGGUUGAGCAUACUAUGGGAAUCCAGCCAUUGUCAGGGCACCUUGUGUGAACCAGACCCAUCUCAAGGUGCCAGAUAAUGGUUUAGUGUGUUGCAUGAAUGAUGGGGGUUGGAGAUGAACUUGCUUCAGCUCCAGUGGGAGUGGCCUGUUUUAUUGGACAAAUUAACCAGCAUGAUGUUGUCAUGUAUAGGUUGGGCUCAUACAAUGUGCUCUUCUCUAGCCCUUCUGCGACUGGAUCUUGUGCUGAAGUGAGAGUUUUUCCAAGUGAAAAUGAAUGGAUACAGCCUUCAGGACUCAGAUUUUCUUAGGGGUGCCAUUAACAAGAGGGGAAUCUGCUGCUGGGGUUCCAUAUCUGGCCUACCUUCAUUCCCUGUAGCAGAAAUAGUGGGAAGCCAAGUCUUCAGCUUAGCUGGAAGACAUCAUCUCUGACUGCCAACACUGACUGUCAAAUGCCCUUGGGGCUUCAGAAGAAAGAGGAAAAGAUCCCAUAAACACACGGCAACCUAAUUUUUCCCAGCAGGCCACACAGCAGCACCAGUUGGUCAAUUCAGAUGUCCUUCUCCCAACAGACUCCAUCUAGUUGAUGUCUAUUAGGGGUUAUGGCUUUGAUUCAAAUCAUUGAUCCAGAUGAGAAUGUUGAUUAGAUCCGAUUCCGUCAUUUCAGGAAAUGUGAUGUUUCGCACAAAUGGUUUAUUGCCCCCACUCCUAUUCUUUGACCAAGUUGCUCUUCAUAAAUCUCUGCUUCCUGAUGCGAAAUGUAUUUUGGUCUAAAAUAGCUUUCCCUCACCUGAUGCUCUCCAAUUCCUCUAAUCCCAGGCCACACUCAGCUGAUUGCAGAUCCCAGCAAUGAUAGUCCACUCAUCUGAAGGGAACCAUCUUAGCCUCAAGAUUAAUCUAUGGUUAUUUCGCCUGACUUCUGCAUGCCCAGAUGUAUUGAUCCUCUUUGCUUCUAAGCAAUAAUUCCCCCCACCCCCCGAAUAUUUUUGACCCAUUCUGUGAUGUGAUAUUUUGCUUCUGGGAUACAAAGAGGUAUGAGAUUGAAGGAGGCUUGGCAUAUUGAUGGCAAAGCAGCGGGAUGGUCCAAAGCGGUUGCUACUUUGAGUAAUAUUUAAAGGGGACACAGAAGGUGGACUCUGAUAGAAAGCCAUGCUUCACUCUAACUUGGCUUUCAAGGAAUAACACUUGUGUCUGCAGAAAUUCCAGGGGAAAGGGGAUGGAAACCAACUUGUAGGAGGAUAGAGUGUUCUUGCAGAGGGUGCUCGACAGCUAUGGCCUAUGGCUUUGAUUUGGUGGUUCACUUCCCUGCAGUGCUAAUCAAGACAACUACCAGUCAGAGUUCAACAGCAUGUUUCAGCUGCCAGCAAAGAAAUACAGAGUCUGGAGAUGGGGUGGAUGAACUCCCUCUUAUAUUGUGUCAGCCCUGGAAAAUAAACCACCAGCUUUCAUUUCCAAACAAGAGUGCAUAUUUGUAUCGAGUUAAAACUGCUUAUCUGCCAUUUCCACGGUACAGCUUUAGACAGAGCAAGUGUGUGUGUGUGUUUUUCUAGAAUGUUUCCUCAGCUAUGUAUUCACUUAACUAAAGUUGCUGAAUUAACCAG